UACGGGCUCAUUACACCACGGCUAUAACUUUACUUGGACACUUGACUUCUUACUUGGAUAACUGUGGUAAUUCUAGAGCUAAUACAUGCACCAAAGCUCCAAUCUCCCCAGAGCGGAUCGCAUUUGUUCGCCACAAAACCAAGCGCCUUCGGGCGUCCAGUGUUGACUCAGAACAACUAAGCUGAUCGCACGGUCUUGUACCGGCGACGUGUCUUUCAAGUGUCUGCCUUAUCAACUUUCGAUGGUAGUGUACCUGACUACCAUGGUGAUGACGGGUAACGGAGGAUAAGGGUUCGACUCCGGAGAAGGGGCCUGAGAAAUGGCCACUACGUCUAAGGAUGGCAGCAGGCGCGCAAAUUACCCACUCUCAACAUGAGGAGGUACUGACGAGAAAUAACGAGACCGAUCUCUUAUGAGGCCGGUCAUCGGAAUGGGUACAAUUUAAACCCUUUAACGAGUAUCUAUGAGAGGGCAAGUCUGGUGCCAGCAGCCGCGGUAAUUCCCGCUCUCAAAAUGCAUAGAAUUAUUGCUGCGGUUAAAAAGCUCGUAAUUGGAUCUGUGCUAUCCGGCCGGUCCACCCACUGGGUGUGCACUGGUUCGGUUGGCUUUUCUGCGGGUCUUUCCCCGGCUUUGGCCUUCACCGGUCGGCAUCGGUGGGCUGGCAAUUUAACUUUGAACAAUUCAAAGUGCUGCAAACAGGCGUUUCGCUUGAAUGUUCUUGCAUGAAAUAGUACGAGGAGGAUUUCGGUCCGAUUUUAUUGGUUUUGCCUGACCGAAAUAUGGGUAAACAGAGACGAACGGGGGCCUUUCUUAUUGCUACGUGAAAAGGUGAAAUUCUUGGACCGUACCAGGACGGACUA
rnacentral:rRNA from 1 species